GGAUGUGAGACGCAGAGGAUAAAUCAAUUCCACCCCCAGCCCUCCUUCCACAACGCCACCACCAACACCCUUUUCCCCACAUUGUACUGAUGUGGGUGUUGGUUCACUUCCCUGGUAAAACCCAAACAACACAAGAAAGACAGAAUCGGGCAGGAUCUGGGCAAUAAAGAAGACACAGGCUUGUUUAAACAUCAGUCUAUUAUUUUAAUAAUAAUAAAAGAUAAAAUGUCACUUAAUAUAAGUUACUGCAGUUUUAUAGAGAGACAGAACCGCUAGCCACCACAAAGCUUGUUCUGUGUAGAUUCAUACAAUAAUAAUCUGUGAGUGUGUUAUUGUUGUUAGCGUGUGUGUGUGUGUGUCUGUGUGUGUCUGGGUCUUUGUGUGCGUGGCUGGGUGUGCGCGUGUGUGUGUGUGUGUGUGUGUGAGAGCAUGUAAAGUCAUAGUUAAGAGACUAGCCAGGGUCUAGAGAGAGCUAUUGUAAGACCGUCAUGAGUAUAGGCCAUGAAUAAAGGGGCUUUGCGCGUGUGUGUGUGUACCUUGAGUUUGUACUGCAUUGAGCACAGCACUGAGUUUGUAAGAAAAAAAGCUUCUACACACUGCAACUAGGACACGCCCUCCUGCGACCCUUCCAUUCUCACAACACUCAAUCACUCUCACUGUCACAUUGCUAAAGUCACAAACUGAUCAUAAAAGUGUUCGUUCAGGUCUUUCCUACCCCCUAUUCACUAUAGAGUCGACCUGUUCUUUUCACCAGAAACCCAUUAGCCGCUCCUGAUGAGUUUGUCAUCUAACCCUCCUUUGUAGAAAAAUUAUAUUGCAAUGAGCUCGUAUAAAGCAUCAAGCCUGAACACUGGGAUAGGGAUGUCUGUUUUUGGUAUUGCCUCUCACACAACGGGCCUCAUUGAGACGCAUUUCAAACAAAUAUAUAUACGUAUAUAACAUGUCUGUGAAAUGACCUGCACUUAGAGCUAAGAAGGAAGUGAGCAGAGCGCUAGGUAGCUUCUAGCUUCUAUGUUCCCUGCUGCUGGCUGCUAGCAUGAGUCUAGUGUAGUCUAGUCCCUGGGACGUCAGGCCUGUGUUAUGGAUGCACUUCCUUGUACCUGUGUGUGUGUGUGUGUGUGUGUGUCAAAGCGGGGUCACACUGAAAGUGAUGCUUAUAGAGUUGUUCAUGUCUCCCUUUACACCGUUUUCUGCGCUUGGAAGAGAGUUCUGGAUAUAAAGACCCUUAAAAGGCUGGAUUACUGGGAGGAUUUGGCCACAGCAGCCCGGGAAGAGGAGAGAGAGGAUGGAUAAAAGUAUUUGAACUGAAGUGCAUUUGAAGGAGCUACAAGGAACAGAAUGCUCACUAUUUUCCCUGGAAGGCUGGACAUGAAUGUGUAUCUGUAUUAUAUGCUUGUUGUUUUUGUGUUUCAGCGCACGUGUGUGUGUGUGUGUGUGUUAAUGUGUGAACUAUUACUUGCGUUCUGCUUCAGCGUAUACAUCAGGCCCACUGCUAGUGUGUCCAUCCUUCUCGCCUGGCUGCCCGCCUCCCUCUCAGAGGGGCACCUAUGAUCACCAGAGAGGGGAUCCAAGGGUUCUUGUCCACACCGCCCCAUCUAAUCACCAUGCUGUCUCUGUUCUGGUGUGUGGCAGCCAGGCCAUCCCCCCUGACGGCGGCCAGAUUGCUAACCAGCCAGCACCUGCUCGCGGUGCACCAUACUAACGUUCCAUUUCUAACGAUGUAUUCGACUCGAAAUGUUUGCUUGUGAUAGUUAGUUAAUGGGCACACAUAAUAUUAUGUCUGCCCAUUGUGGCGGCCAUUGCACUUCUAACCACCUCUGGGAGGAGGGAUCCUUCUCGGGGACUUGCUAAUGAAGGGAUUCCUUUACCUGACCUAUGGGGGGGGGCAGGGUAGUCAUAAAAUGUUUGUGUGAAGCCCUUUGAGACUGUGAAAUGCACUUGACUAGACUUGAUUCAGGAGCAAAAGGGAGGAGGAGAUUUGGUGAAGAAGAGAACAGAAGUGUGUACAAUGACUUUAAAUAAGAAUGAGAAGAGGGGAAUAUUUGUUUAUGAAAUACAUAUGUUAAGAGUGUCGGAGCAGAAGAGCUGUCUGUUUAGAGGGAGCAGGGAAAUGUCCAUGUGAACAUUUGUCAAUGUUUCUGAAUCUCUGCCUUCUGCUCUAGGCCUCCGACCAGAGCCUCCAGGUCUCUUCUGGCGCUGCUGGACUACUGCCUCUAAGCCUGCCUCACAGUGGAGCCCCUUUCAACCACACACACACACACACACACACACACACACACACACACACACACACACACACACACACUGAAAGCAUACAUAUGCAUACAUUGAAAGCACACAAACACACUCUCACACAUGCAUACAUUUAAGACACACACACACACACACAUGCAUAAAUUGAAAGCAUACAUAUGCAUACAUUGAAAGCACACAAACACAAGUGCAUACAUUUAAGACACACACACACACACACACAUAAAUGCACACAUUAAAAAAGAGUCACUCAAAAACCCAUUAAUUAAACAAAAACACUACACACACAUACAGAAAUACACACACACACACACACCAGACUGAACACACACACACACACACACAAACACUUAACACACAUAAAUUAAACACGUGCCACACACAAACAUCAUACAUACUUUGGGCGUACAUGCAUUAGGCAUACAUUACACACACACACACACACACACACACACACACACACACACACACACACACACACACACACACACACACACACACACACACACACACACACACACACACACACAGCAGGAGCCUUGGCUUGCAUGCAUACAAGCUCUGCUGGCCUUGAGGACAUAUUCUGCAUCGCAUUGCUGCACUUACUGCAGCAUGCAGUGGCAAAAGGAACUGCGUGCCAAAAGCUGCUCUCUGAACCAGGGGUGACAGUGGUGUCUCCCCUGCACGGUCAUUCCCACACGCAACGACUUGUGCGGUACAGCUGGACGCACAUGCAAGUGACAGGAGGACAUUAAAGUGGUGGGGGUUAUACAUAGCGCCACUUUAAUAUUUUUCAGUUUCUGACCUCAAUAUCAUUCCCUUAUCGGGAUGUUGCCCCUGGUUUGGCGGUCUGUGUUUUACUAGAGCUGUAAAGAUCUCCCCCUGACCUGUAGCCCAGUCAAACCAGCACAUUGAGUCACGCAUCAUGCUGGGCUCCUCUGAGAUCAUGGAAUGAUAUUUUUAUCCGUGCCGUUUUUCCUUUUGUCCUCAGACAGUUUAUACAAGGUCACACACACACACAUACACAUUCUUUAUGGGGCCUGGCGGUCCUAGCUACAGGUGCUGAGGGCCCACAGCCGAUCCGCUGCUCACUCUUCCACUACGGGUGAUAUGCAGCCAGUCUGCCUGGUAGGGCAGCCGGGGGAUGCCAAAAUCAUUGACUUUGCCUCCGCUCCGUUGGUAAGUAUACAGUGGAUUAUACGGGAGAUCCAGUGGAAGCUGGGAUUUUCGAUGGUCCACAAGGGCACAGAGAGCAGCGGUAGAACCGCGAGCCAUGCGCCUUUCAAAGCCUGCUCAAACCUUUAGGGGUGGGUUGGAGCCCCCACCUCAGGGAGACACUAUCUGAUGAUGAUAGCAGGGAGAUUAGUUCUGUCCACACCGCGCUCCAGGUUUUUUUGUGCUGUGGGGUCUUUUUGCUGAUGUUGAUCCGAGUGCAUGCACUGUGUGUGUGUGUGUGUGUGUGUGUGUGUGUGUGUGUGUGUGUGUGUGUGUGUGUGUGUGUGUGUGUGUGUGUGUGUGUGUGUGUGUGUGUGUGUGUGUGUGUAUGUGUGUAUGUGUGUGCAUGCAUGCAUGCGUAAGUGCAUGUGUGCGUGCCGGUGCAUGCAUGUGUGUGUCUCAAGGUUGUGUUUAAGACUGCAUCAUGCGAGUGCGCACGCGUGUGUUUGGGUGCCUGUGUGCCUGUGCGCUAAAGAAAAAGCUGCCAAUGAUUAUGGCUCAUUUAAUGUGAAGCGAGGUUGGAAUGAGAAUUAACAGAGAGGAACUGGGGGUUGAACUGGAGAAGGGUGUUAAUGUUACGAGGGUCUGGCUUUGACUAUGCCCCGUUGCCCUUGAGAUGUGGCUGUGCCUAUGUGUGUGUGAUUAUUUGUGUGCAGGCCUGGGUUUGUAUGUGUGUUUCUAUAAGGAAUAAGUGACAGUGACUGUUGAGUUGAGUGAAAGGAGUGUGUGUGUGUGUGCGUGCGUGCGUGCGUGCGUGUGUGUGUUUGUGUGUGUGUGUGUGUGACAGUGUGUGUGUGUGUGUGUGUGUGUGUCUGGUAUCGUUGUUCUUCCGCUUGGUUUAUGAGCAUGAUAAUGUAAACUGUUUAUCUUUGUGAGGGUCUACAGGAGAAUGACAAUAGGCCAGUGGGGGUCUCUUUUUGUAAUCCAAAUCAGUCCCGCUGGAGGCCAUCAGAGGCUGUCCUGAGAGGCACACACACACACACACACACACACACACACACACACACACACACACACACACACACACACACACACACACACACACACACACACAC
ensembl:lncRNA